GUAUUUCUUCAAGUAUUUUCCAUUUAGAGCCCUUGUGAACUCUUCUCCUUCAAGUGUCUCCAAAAUAUACGCAUUGCCUGGAGCACACCGGUUUAUCCGAUAUGGUCCCUCCCACGUAGGCGACCAUUUUCCAAAUUUAGGAUCUUUAGACCCAAUUGGCAAUACCAGUUUCCAGACUAGAUCUCCUUGGAAAAACUCUUUGACCUUGACCUUUUUGUCAUACCAUCUAGCCACCCUUUUCUUAUUUUCUUCGAUACUGAACAAAACCCUUAGCCGAUGACCUGCUAAGUCUUCCA
rnacentral:lncRNA from 1 species